rnacentral:rRNA from 1 species
GGAAGGGCGCAGCUACCAUGCAGUCGAGCGGAUGAGGGUAGCUUGCUACCUGAUUCAGCGGCGGACGGGUGAGUAAUGCCUAGGAAUCUGCCCGAUAGUGGGGGACAACGUUUCGAAAGGAACGCUAAUACCGCAUACGUCCUAUGGGAGAAAGUGGGGGAUCUUCGGACCUCACGCUAUCGGAUGAGCCUAGGUCGGAUUAGCUAGUUGGUGAGGUAAUGGCUCACCAAGGCGACGAUCCGUAACUGGUCUGAGAGGAUGAUCAGUCACACUGGAACUGAAACACGGUCCAGACUCCUACGGGAGGCAGCAGUGGGGAAUAUUGGACAAUGGGCGAAAGCCUGAUCCAGCCAUGCCGCGUGUGUGAAGAAGGUCUUCGGAUUGUAAAGCACUUUAAGUUGGGAGGAAGGGCAGUAAGUUAAUACCUUGCUGUUUUGACGUUACCAACAGAAUAAGCACCGGCUAACUUCGUGCCAGCAGCCGCGGUAAUACGAAGGGUGCAAGCGUUAAUCGGAAUUACUGGGCGUAAAGCGCGCGUAGGUGGUUCAGCAAGUUGGAUGUGAAAGCCCCGGGCUCAACCUGGGAACUGCAUCCAAAACUACUGAGCUAGAGUACGGUAGAGGGUGGUGGAAUUUCCUGUGUAGCGGUGAAAUGCGUAGAUAUAGGAAGGAACACCAGUGGCGAAGGCGACCACCUGGACUGAUACUGACACUGAGGUGCGAAAGCGUGGGGGAGCAAACAGGAUUAGAUACCCUGGUAGUCCACGCCGUAAACGAUGUCAACUAGCUGUUGGGUUCCUUGAGAACUUAGUAGCGCAGCUAACGCGAUAAGUUGACCGCCUGGGGAGUACGGCCGCAAGGUUAAAACUCAAAUGAAUUGACGGGGGCCCGCACAAGCGGUGGAGCAUGUGGUUUAAUUCGAAGCAACGCGAGACCUUACCUGGCCUUGACAUGCUGAGAACUUUCCAGAGAUGGAUUGGUGCCUUCGGGAACUCAGAC